GGUGCAUUAGCUAGUUGGUGAGGUAACGGCUCACCAAGGCGCACGAUGCAUAGCCGACCUGAGAGGGUGAUCGGCCACACUGGGACUGAGACACGGCCCAGACUCCUACGGGAGGCAGCAGUAGGGAAUCUUCCGCAAUGGACGAAAGUCUGACGGAGCAACGCCGCGUGAGUGAUGAAGGCUUUCGGGUCGUAAAACUCUGUUGUUAGGGAAGAACAAGUAUGAGAGUAACUGCUCGUACCUUGACGGUACCUAACCAGAAAGCCACGGCUAACUACGUGCCAGCAGCCGCGGUAAUACGUAGGUGGCAAGCGUUAUCCGGAAUUAUUGGGCGUAAAGCGCGCGCAGGCGGUUUCUUAAGUCUGAUGUG
rnacentral:rRNA from 1 species